rnacentral:rRNA from 1 species
GACAUACGCGAAGAACCUUACCUGGCCUUGACAUAGUUAGAACCUAAUAGAGAUAUAAGGGUGCUAGUUUACUAGAGCUUACAUACAGGUGCUGCACGGCUGUCGUCAGCUCGUGUCGUGAGAUGUUGGGUUAAGUCCCGCAACGAGCGCAACCCUCGUGUUUAGUUGCUAACAGGUUAAGCUGAGGACUCUAUGCCGACUGCCUGGGUAACCAGGAGGAAGGUGAGGACGACGUCAAGUCAUCAUGGCCCUUACGGCCAGGGCUACACACGUGCUACAAUGGGAUAUACAAAGAGCAGCGAUACCGCGAGGUGGAGCAAAUCUUAUAAAAUAUCUCCCAGUUCGGAUUACACUCNGCAACUCGAGUGUAUGAAGUUGGAAUCGCUAGUAAUCGUAGAUCAGCAAUGCUACGGUGAAUACGUUCCCGGGUCUUGUACUCACCGCCCGUCACACCAUGGGA